AUAUUGAAAUAGUGCAUUGGUGGAGGUUGGGCCUGAGUUCCAGGCGGGUGUAUUUGAUUCUGCUGCUGAGAUAUAACUGCCCUAGGCAACAUCCCACCAUGAGCCAUCAAUGCCUGUUGCCUUGCUUCUUCUGAAGCUUCAGACUCAGGUUUUGGUGCUUGGGGUCUUCCCCACAUUAGCUUCAGCCUCAGACCCUUGAUAACUAGCUUAUUGGAGAGCUCUUCUGCAGCCUUCUCAGCACCUUCUCUGGUUGUGUAGGUUACAAAUGCAAUUGCUCGUUGAGGCACCAUUUUAAUGGAUUCGAUCUCACCAUGAGCAUAAAAGUUAUCCCUCAGAUCCUGCUCUGUAAUCCUUGCAUCAAGCCCACCCACAUAGAGGGUUUUAAUGCUUUCAUCCUCAGGUGGCUC
rnacentral:lncRNA from 1 species